rnacentral:rRNA from 1 species
CCUACGGGUGGCAGCAGUAGGGAAGAUUGCUCAAUGGGGGAAACCCUGAAGCAGCAACGCCGCGUGGAGGAUGAAGGUUUUCGGAUUGUAAACUCCUUUUGGUAGAGAAGAGAAUGACGGUAUCUAACGAAUAAGCACCGGCUAACUCCGUGCCAGCAGCCGCGGUAAUACGGAGGGGGCAAGCGUUACUCGGAAUCACUGGGCGGAAAGAGCGCGUAGGCGGGAUAGCAAGUCAGAUGUGUAAUCCUAUGGCUUAACCAUAGAACUGCUUUUUAAACUGUUAUUCUAGAGUAUGGGAGAGGUAGGUGGCAUUCUUGGUGUAGGUGUCAAAUCCGUAUAGUUCAAGAGGAAUACUCAUUGCGACGGCGACCUGCUAGAACAUACCUGACGCUGAUGCGCU